rnacentral:lncRNA from 1 species
UUCCAUUGAACACAGAGCUCAUCUCUUUGGUAUUUAGUAAGCUACUGCUACCUGCCUGGUCUGCUGUGUUUCCCAGUGGCCUUAGGUGACCCUUGUGAAAGGGUCAGCCCCCAGGGGGUCAUGUCCCACAAGUUGCUUACAUUAAUGUGAUUGGAUUCUUGAGAAAAGCCUUUUUGCUAGGAAUCGAUGAGAAGAAAAGAUUGGCAGAGCUCAGUGGAUUUCUCCUCUGAUAUCUGGCUGUUUGCAUCUUUAUUAUCCACUGGAAUCCUCUGCAUCUUGGGCUGCUUUAAAGAUGUCACUGGUAUCUAAAGAAGAGGCCAAGGAAGCUGCUGAACGCCCUGCGGUGCACAGGGCAGCCCCACCACAAGGUUGCUCAACUUAAUGCCAGCUGCUUCAAGGUUGAGAAAUUCAGCUUCGUUCUUCACCCAGAACUCAUCUGAGCUGUGACUCUCCUUACGUCAUAGAUGAUAAUUCCAGAAGCACGUAUAUGUUGAUAUUUCACAUUUAAAAAUGCAAACAUGAACCAGUAAGAGACAUUUCCCAUCUCUGUGUAGCAUCUCUGUACAUCAUCAGUGAGUCAUGGGUUAUAAGAGGCAUGCCUUUGGCUGUUAGGAUCCCUUCUGCUCAAUUCAUUUCCUGUCCACCAUGAGAUAAGUAGCUCCUGUCACAUGCUCUGCCUGCUGUGACACUCUGCUGUACUGUUUACCCAGAAUCAAUGAAGCAGGACUACAGACCGAUUUCUCUGAUGCUGUGAGCCAAAAUAAACCAU